UAAUCGCGAAUCAGAAUGUCGCGGUGAAUACGUUCCCGGGUCUUGUACACACCGCCCGUCACACCAUGGGAGUCGGAUAUGCCCGAAGUCAGUAGUCCAACCACGUGAGGACGCUGCCGAAGGUAGGAUUGGCGACUGGGGUGAAGUCGUAACAAGGUAAC
rnacentral:rRNA from 1 species